UGCACAGUGUAUUCCAUAAUAUAAAAAAACCUCUUUGUUUUAAAGACUUUUAUUAAUGAUUUUCCUUCCAUACAAGCGUAUUAAAACAAGGCAAGAGGUAUAUAUUUAACUGAUACCGAAGGCACAGUCACAGAUGUCAACAGUUGAAUUUACAUUUUAUAUAUGGACAAUUUUCGCUCGUUCCUUUUCGUGUUAUAAUUUCGAAUGAAUCACUGCAAUUUCAGCU